GGUGGCAUGCAAAAUCCAUUCCUCAUCCCUAAGAUGCCCCCAAGCAUGGGAGGCAACACUAAUUUGAUAGUUUUCCAGGACACUAGCAAACACCACUAUAAUUCCAAGAUUAAAAAAAAAAAAGAAAAGAAACCUCAGUGACAAGUGCAUACCUCCAACCACACAAUUCCAUCCCGAUUGCUCAAUUUCUUUUUGCUUUUCUUUUCUUUUUUCUUUUUUCUUUUUUUUCCAGUCUGUUUGCUGGCCUU
rnacentral:lncRNA from 10 species